rnacentral:piRNA from 1 species
UUAUAUUUAUAAACGUAGAAA